CACGCAUCGGUCGUCCCUCACGACCUCAAUCACCAUGUCCUCCACCCCUCCAGCCCGGCAAACCACAAUCCUGCUGUCUCCGAUGCCCAUCAUCCUUCUCAAACCCACGCCGGCCUCUCCUAAGGCAUCGGCUAGCUAAUAGUUGAAACCCAAUCACGUGAUGCCACUUCCUGUACCACCGCUGCAGAGUCUAGACUGCUAUCCGGCCGUCUUUUCAUAGAUGCGUACUCUGCUGUUGCUUGGCUCCAAUUCCAUGGAAACCCUCCUCUAAGGCUCGAGUCCUAUGGGCAACGCAUCCUCCUCCACCUUUUCUCUCUUCGACGUCGUUGCUCCUCUUCAGGCCAUUAGUGAAGGCUGAGGAGCUAGAUUGAGUUUAUUGGGAUGUACAAUAUGGUGGCAAGCACAUUGGCUGCCGGAGACAAAAAUAAUUCACCCACUGCUGUUUUGUUGGACUGCUCUUUCUUUAAAGACGGUAUCAUUAUCCUUUAGAUCAUUCUCUUUCUAAUUGAUUUGGUUCAUGUAUUGAUAAAAGGAUUUUUAAGGGGAAAGUGAGUUUUACAUAUGAAUGUCGAUCAUAUUAGAACCACUACAAAAGGUGCUUCAGCAAUGUCAGGAAAGGCCACAAAUGCACAAGGUGUCCGGGUAUUCUUGCCUGAUUUUCAAACUCAUGUGUUGCGCAAUUGCUAUCUUCUAACGAUAAUAGGUAAUAGAAGACCAAGCUGCAAAUCCUACCAACAGAUGACUAAUAACGGGGUUGCAAGCCUUCAAACCACAGAGCACAGUCCGUCUCCAUUUGCUGAUUAGUCGAGUUACUUACCUCCCAUCAUAGAGCUUUCAUCUCUGCUUCCUGAGCAUCAGCACAAACAUAUCAUCUCUCCCCCGUACAGCAUAU